UACAUACAGCGCAGUGUGGUGCAAGAGA
rnacentral:piRNA from 1 species